rnacentral:rRNA from 1 species
CCUACGGGAGGCAGCAGUGGGGAAUAUUGCACAAUGGGGGAAACCCUGAUGCAGCGACGCCGCGUGAGUGAAGAAGUAUUUCGGUAUGUAAAGCUCUAUCAGCAGGGAAGAAGAAAGACGGUAGCUGACCAAUAAGCCCCGGCUAACUACGUGCCAGCAGCCGCGGUAAUACGCAGGGGGCAAGCGUUAUCCGGAUUUACUGGGUGUAAAGGGAGCGUAGACGGGUGUGCAAGUCUGAGGUGAAAGCCCAGGGCUCAACCCUGGGACUGCAUUGGAAACUGUGAGGCUAGAGUGCUGGAGAGGUAGGUGGAAUUCCUAGUGUAGCGGUGAAAUGCGUAGAUAUUAGGAAGAACACCAGUGGCGAAGGCGGCUUUCUGGACUGAAACUGACGCUGAGGCACGAAAGCGUGGGGAGCGAACAGGAUUAGAUACCCCAGUAGUC